GGCUCAGAACGAACGUUGGCGGCGUGGAUUAGGCAUGCAAGUCGUACGGGAUCCAGCAAUGGGUCCAGUGGCGAACGGGUGAGUAUCGCGUGGGAAACCUACCCUUGAGACGGGGAUAACACCUCCAACGGGGUGCUAAUACCGGAUAAGACCACGGAGUCGCAUGGUUCCGCGGUCAAAGGUGGCCUCUACUUGUAAGCUACCACUUAAGGAUGGUCCCGCGUCCCAUUAGCUUGUUGGUAGGGUAAUGGCCUACCAAGGCGACGAUGGGUAGCUGGUCUGAGAGGAUGGUCAGCCACACUGGGACUGAGAUACGGCCCAGACUCCUACGGGAGGCAGCAGUCGAGAGGCUUCGGCAAUGGGGGAAACCCUGACCGAGCGACGCCGCGUGGGCGAUGAAGGCCGUUAGGUUGUAAAGCCCUGUCGAGCGGGAAAAAGUGUAGGCGGGUGAACAAUCCGCUUACUUGAUGGUACCGUUAAAGGAAGCUCCGGCCAACUCCGUGCCAGCAGCCGCGGUAAUACGGGGGGAGCGAACGUUGUUCGGAAUUACUGGGCGUAAAGGGCGUGCAGGCGGUCCUGUAAGAGAGUUGUGAAAUGCCCUGGCUCAACCAGGGACAUGCAGCUCUGACUGCAGGACUUGAGUAUAGGAGAGGAUGGGGGAAUUCCCGGUGUAGCGGUGAAAUGCAUUGAUAUCGGGAGGAACACCAGUGGCGAAGGCGCCCAUCUGGCCUAAUACUGACGCUCAGGCGCGAAAGCUAGGGGAGCAAACAGGAUUAGAUACCCUGGUAGUCCUAGCCGUAAACGGUGGGCACUAGGUGUAGGAGGCAUCGACCCCUCCUGUGCCGCAGCUAACGCAUUAAGUGCCCCGCCUGGGGAGUACGACCGCAAGGUUGAAACU
rnacentral:rRNA from 1 species